UGUAGCCUUUAGACUCAAAUGCUCAGCUUCUUCUUCGUGACCGAUGGCGUGACUCUCCGCGGCGGUGAUGUCGCCAGUUCUCUCCGGCGAACUCGAUCGCUCACUCCGCCUCACUCUCUUGAUUUCCGUUUUCACUCUUUCCGUUUCAAACUCAUCUCUGGUCUGAGUCUUCUCUUUUCUUGAUUUUUUUGUUGAGUUGUUGUAUUGCUGAUUGUCUUUGCGGAUGAAGAAGAUUGGUGAUGCUGAAUGUGGAGAUUGAAGAGGUGUGGUGAGGAAUGAAGGUCGAUGAAUGGAGAGAGUCAGAAGUGAAGAAGAGUGGAGAAUUGGUGAUGUUGCAGAGUGAUGAAGAAGAUGAAUCGAGAGAGGUGAGAGUGAAGAUUCAAGAUGAAGGUGAAUUGUGGAGAGAAGGAAAACAGAGUGAAGGUGAUGAUUGGAGGAUAGGAGUGAUAUGGUGAAGAAAGUGUUGAAGGAGUGAAGAAUCGGUGGAGAAGGGUGGUGAGAAGUGGUGAAGAUGAUGAAAUGGUUCAGAGGAGAAUGAAUAGAGAGCCUUUGAAAUGAAGCAGAGAGCUGAUUUUAUAGAGCCAAUUCUCAGGUUUUGAUGAAAGGAUGCUGUAAAUUGUGAAGGCGUGAUAUGGAAUUCAUCAUGAGCUUUUGCAGUCACUUUGGCAUAGCAUGAUAUUUUUAUACAUGAACCCCUAAAGCGUUGGAGACCGAACUGAGGAUGAAGCUUGAAUACAUGACGGCUACAACUAGGCUUUUUAGGAACUAGGACAACAAGUUAUGCGGCUUUAUUCUUUUCUCAAUUUGUUGAGAUUUUGUCCAAAAUAGAUCAUAGCAGUAGCAAAAAUGUGAUGUCUCCUUUGGUUUAAAUAUGCUGAAUUUUUGAAGUUUUGAACUUUUGUAAUGGAUUUCCUUUUGAUGCAACAAUGGCUUUUGUAAUGGAUAAUGUUGACUUGUGGUUGUGUUUUUA